UUGAUCUUGGGUGCACCUAUACUAAACUUGGAACUAUCCAGAGAAGAUUAGCAUGAUCCUGCACAAAGAUAACAUGAAAAUGCGUCAAGUAUUCCAUAUUUGA
rnacentral:snRNA from 1 species